rnacentral:piRNA from 1 species
UGUCUACAAUGUGAGAUUCUGGAUAGAUC